rnacentral:rRNA from 1 species
CAGGUCUUGACAUCCUCUGACAAUCCUAGAGAUAGGACGUUCCCCUUCGGGGGACAGAGUGACAGGUGGUGCAUGGUUGUCGUCAGCUCGUGUCGUGAGAUGUUGGGUUAAGUCCCGCAACGAGCGCAACCCUUAUUCUUAGUUGCCAGCAUUUAGUUGGGCACUCUAAGGAGACUGCCGGUGACAAACCGGAGGAAGGUGGGGAUGACGUCAAAUCAUCAUGCCCCUUAUGACCUGGGCUACACACGUGCUACAAUGGAUGGUACAAAGGGUUGCGAGACCGCGAGGUUUAGCCAAUCCCAUAAAACCAUUCUCAGUUCGGAUUGUAGGCUGCAACUCGCCUACAUGAAGCCGGAAUCGCUAGUAAUCGUGGAUCAGCAUGCCACGGUGAAUACGUUCCC